CAGUCGCCGCGGUAAUACGAGGGGGGCAAGCGUUGUUCGGAAUUAUUGGGCGUAAAGGGUGCGUAGGCGGUUUGGCAAGUUUGGUGUGAAAUCUUCGGGCUCAACUCGAAGUCUGCAUCGAAAACUGCCGGGCUUGAGUAUGGGAGAGGUGAGUGGAAUUUCCGGUGUAGCGGUGAAAUGCGUAGAUAUCGGAAGGAACACCCGUGGCGAAAGCGGCUCACUGGACCAUAACUGACGCUGAUGCACGAAAGCUAGGGGAGCAAACAGGAUUAGAUACCCGAGUAGUCCCUGUCUCUUAUAC
rnacentral:rRNA from 1 species